rnacentral:rRNA from 1 species
UCGGACGGCAGCGGGGUAGUGCUUGCACUACUGCCGGCGAGUGGCGAACGGGUGAGUAAUAUAUUGGAACGUACCGAGUAAUGGGGGAUAACCAAUCGAAAGAUUGGCUAAUACCGCAUACGCUCUGAGGAGGAAAGCAGGGGACCUUCGGGCCUUGCGUUAUUCGAGCGGCCAAUAUCUGAUUAGCUAGUUGGUGGGGUAAAGGCCUACCAAGGCGACGAUCAGUAGCGGGUCUGAGAGGAUGAUCCGCCACACUGGGACUGAGACACGGCCCAGACUCCUACGGGAGGCAGCAGUGGGGAAUUUUGGACAAUGGGCGCAAGCCUGAUCCAGCCAUGCCGCGUGUCUGAAGAAGGCCUUCGGGUUGUAAAGGACUUUUGUUAGGGAAGAAAAAGGAGCGGUUAAUACCCGUUUCUGCUGACGGUACCUAAAGAAUAAGCACCGGCUAACUACGUGCCAGCAGCCGCGGUAAUACGUAGGGUGCGAGCGUUAAUCGGAAUUACUGGGCGUAAAGCGAGCGCAGACGGUUACUUAAGCAGGAUGUGAAAUCCCCGGGCUCAACCUGGGAACUGCGUUCUGAACUGGGUAGCUAGAGUAUGUCAGAGGGGGGUAGAAUUCCACGUGUAGCAGUGAAAUGCGUAGAGAUGUGGAGGAAUACCGAUGGCGAAGGCAGCCCCCUGGGAAUGUACUGACGCUCAUGUGCGAAAGCGUGGGGAGCAAACAGGAUU